GAAGGAGAUGGUGGAGGAGGAGAUUUAUAAACGUAUGGAGGUGGUGGGGAUGGAGACGGUGGAGGUGGUGACUUGUAAACAUAUGGUGGGGGAGGAGAGGGAGAUGGAGGUGGUGGCGACUUAUAAAUAUAGGGUGGAGGAGGAGAAGGUGAUGGUGGGGGUGGGGACUUGUAAACAUAUGGAGGAGGAGGGGAAGGGGAAGGAGGUGGUGGUGACUUAUAUACAUAUGGUGGAGGGGGUGAAGGUGAUGGUGGGGGUGGAGAUUUGUAGACAUAUGGAGGUGGUGGAGAUGGGGAUGGUGGAGGUGGUGACUUGUAGACAUAUGGUGGAGGGGGGGAUGGAGAUGGGGGUGGUGGUGAUUUAUAUACAUAUGGUGGGGGAGGGGAGGGUGAUGGUGGAGGAGGAGACUUGUAUAUAUAUGGUGGAGGGGGUGAUGGGGAUGGUGGUGGUGGGGACUUGUAAAUAUAUGGAGGUGGUGGAGAUGGGGAUGGUGGUGGUGGUGACUUGUAGACAUAUGGAGGAGGAGGUGAAGGGGAUGGAGGUGGUGGUGACUUGUAAACAUAAGGUGGGGGAGGUGAGGGUGAUGGUGGAGGAGGAGACUUGUAGACAUAUGGAGGUGGUGGUGAUGGAGAGGGUGGUGGUGGACUCUUAUAGACAUAUGGUGGGGGAGGUGAAGGAGAUGGAGGAGGUGGUGACUUGUAGACAUAUGGAGGAGGAGGAGAGGGAGAUGGAGGUGGUGGGGACUUGUACACAUACGGAGGAGGUGGUGAGGGAGAUGGUGGAGGUGGAGAUUUGUAGUAAUAAGGUGGGUAUUUGUGGACAUAUGGAGGUGGUGGCGAUGGAGAAGGUGGAGGUGGGGAUUUGUAGUAAUAUGGAG
rnacentral:lncRNA from 1 species